AGGGGCCCGGGGGGUUCUCCCGCCGAUCCCGUCCUCCCGCGCUUCUCCCUCCUCCGCCGGGUCCAACUCGGCGCUGCGACGGGGCCGGUUCCUCCCAGAGGUUUGGGCUUUGCUGAGGGACUGACCCAGAUCGUCCCCGUCCCAAACACCCACCGAAAGGAGCUGGGGAUGGGGGGGAACCCGCAACAAAACCACGCGACACCCAGUAAAUGAAAACUACAAAAAGCCGGGGAGCAUCUGAAAGGCGCGGAGCGUGUCUGCGGGAGCGCUGGGGGCUCUUCCCAGCACCACAAAGGGCUUCAGAGCCCGGACAAAAGCUGCCCGGCCCCGCAGCAGCAAUCCUGCCCCUUCUCCCCCACACGUCCCCCCAGCGCGAGCCCAGCAACACACAGCGGGGACAAAAAUGCAUAAAAAGGGAAAUGGGAUAGAUUUUCCAAAUCUGAUUAUUUUCACCACCCACCCACCCCUGGGGGCUUGUUGCAUUUUUUUGAUGGACUUUAAGGUGGGGUGGGAAAUAAAAAAAUAAUAAAUAAACCAAAACAAAUUAAGAGUUUGAUUUCAGAAGAGCCUGAGACUUCACUGCGUUUAACUGAGAACACGGGAGGCACGAAGGGAACGCGGCCACGCGAACACCCAGGACCGGGUCACACCGACCGCGCCACACACACGCUGGGUUGGUUUAACAUCAAACGCCUGCUCUCCAACACAACGCGUUUCUCGCGUAAAUUUUUAACGCACAAGAAGAAAUUUGUAAAACUCUACAGUGCUCGCGGAAAAGCGGGGUCUGAAUGCGACGCUGAGCUGGUUCUGAGCGCGGCACAAGGCGACUCUCUGGGUAUCGCGAUCCCCAGCAGGACCGGCGGAUGGAAGCGCCGCCCGAACCCGACGAGCGAUCCUGGGGAGGAAUUCGGACACAAAUUCCUGUUGGACUAUAUUAAGAAUAGCAAAAUAAAGAAAUUCCCAGUGCAAGUUUUGGAAGCAGCCACUUCCCAAGCACCACUCGGAGCAAAGGGGACCUUGCAGGCGCCUGUGAAUUAUUCCUGCUUUCCCCUCCGCACAUUUUAUUCGUAUUUAAAGGCGCACGGGGGGGACGGGGCAGACGGCCCUUCGUGUGUUUUCUUUCAAAAGGGGAAAAGAAAAGAAAAAUAAAGAAUCACUCCCAAAUGGAAAAAGAAAAA